GGGAAUAUUGGACAAUGGGCGCAAGCCUGAUCCAGCAAUGCCGCGUGUGUGAAGAAGGCCUUCGGGUUGUAAAGCACUUUUAUCAGGAACGAAAUACCACGGGUUAAUAACCUAUGGGGCUGACGGUACCUGAGGAAUAAGCACCGGCUAACUUCGUGCCAGCAGCCGCGGUAAUACGAAGGGUGCAAGCGUUAAUCGGAAUUACUGGGCGUAAAGGGUGCGUAGGCGGUUAGUUAAGUCUGUCGUGAAAUCCCCGGGCUCAACCUGGGAAUGGCGAUGGAUACUGGCUAGCUAGAGUGUGUCAGAGGAUGGUGGAAUUCCCGGUGUAGCGGUGAAAUGCGUAGAGAUCGGGAGGAACAUCAGUGGCGAAGGCGGCCAUCUGGGACAACACUGACGCUGAAGCACGAAAGCGUGGGGAGCAAACAGGAUUAGAUACCCUGGUAGUCCACGCCCUAAACGAUGCGAACUGGAUGUUGGUCUCAACUCGGAGAUCAGUGUCGAAGCUAACGCGUUAAGUUCGCCGCCUGGGAGACG
rnacentral:rRNA from 1 species